rnacentral:rRNA from 1 species
CCUACGGGAGGCAGCAGUGGGGAAUAUUGCGCAAUGGGCGAAAGCCUGACGCAGCAACGCCGCGUGAGGGAUGACGGCCUUCGGGUUGUAAACCUCUUUCAGCAGGGAAGAAGCGAAAGUGACGGUACCUGCAGAAGAAGCACCGGCUAACUACGUGCCAGCAGCCGCGGUAAUACGUAGGGUGCAAGCGUUGUCCGGAUUUAUUGGGCGUAAAGAGCUCGUAGGCGGUUAGUCACGUCGGAUGUGAAAUCCCGGAGCUUAACUCCGGGCCUGCAUUCGAUACGGGCUGACUCGAGUAUUGUAGGGGAGACUGGAACUCCUGGUGUAGCGGUGAAAUGCGCAGAUAUCAGGAAGAACACCGGUGGCGAAGGCGGGUCUCUGGGCAAUUACUGACGCUGAGGAGCGAAAGCGUGGGGAGCAAACAGGAUUAGAUACCCUGGUAGUCCACGCCGUAAACGGUGGGCGCUAGGUGUGGGGACCCUUCCACGGUCUCCGUGCCGCAGCUAACGCAUUAAGCGCCCCGCCUGGGGAGUACGGCCGCAAGGCUAAAACUCAAAGGAAUUGACGG